rnacentral:rRNA from 1 species
AUUGAACGCUGGCGGCAUGCCUUACACAUGCAAGUCGAACGGCAGCGCGGGAGCAAUCCUGGCGGCGAGUGGCGAACGGGUGAGUAAUACAUCGGAACGUGCCCAAUCGUGGGGGAUAACGCAGCGAAAGCUGUGCUAAUACCGCAUACGAUCUACGGAUGAAAGCAGGGGAUCGCAAGACCUUGCGCGAAUGGAGCGGCCGAUGGCAGAUUAGGUAGUUGGUGAGGUAAAGGCUCACCAAGCCUUCGAUCUGUAGCUGGUCUGAGAGGACGACCAGCCACACUGGGACGGAGACACGGCCCAGACUCCUACGGGAGGCAGCAGGGGGGAAUUUUGGAAAAGGGGCGAAAGCCUGAUCCAGCCAGGCCGGGUGCAGGAUGAAGGCCUUCGGUUUGUAAACUGCUUUUGUACGGAACGAAACGGUUUUUUCUAAAAAAGAAGGCUAAUGACGGUACCGAAAGAAAAAGCACCGGCGAACUACGU